rnacentral:rRNA from 1 species
UACGAAGGGGGCUAGCGUUGUUCGGAUUUACUGGGCGUAAAGCGCACGUAGGCGGAUCGUUAAGUCGGGGGUGAAAUCCUGGAGCUCAACUCCAGAACUGCCUUCGAUACUGGCGAUCUUGAGUCCGGAAGAGGUGAGUGGAACUCCUAGUGUAGAGGUGGAAUUCGUAGAUAUUAGGAAGAACACCAGUGGCGAAGGCGGCUCACUGGUCCGGUACUGACGCUGAGGUGCGAAAGCGUGGGGAGCAGACAGG